rnacentral:rRNA from 1 species
AUUGAACGCUGGCGGCAUGCUUUACACAUGCAAGUCGAACGGCAGCACGGGGGCAACCCUGGUGGCGAGUGGCGAACGGGUGAGUAACACAUCGGAACGUGGCCAGUUGUGGGGGAUAACCUAUCGAAAGGUAGGCUAAUACCGCAUGAGCUCGGCGAGAGGAAAGCGGGGGACCCAGCGAUGGGCCUCGCGCGACUGGAGCGGCCGAUGUCCGAUUAGCAGUUGGUGGGGUAAAGGCUUACCAAGGCGACGAUCGGUAGCUGGUCUGAGAGGAUGAUCAGCCACACUGGGACUGAGACACGGCCCAGACUCCUACGGGAGGCAGCAGUGGGGAAUUUUGGACAAUGGGGCAACCCUGAUCCAGCCAUGCCGCGUGAGUGAAGAAGGGCCU